rnacentral:lncRNA from 1 species
AGAUGAACAUGGCUGGCACUGGCUGUGGCAUGCAGGUGUGCUUCCUGAGGGCCACUGCAAGUUGGGGGCAAGCUUCUGCAUGCAAGUCACCUGCAUUCACUCGGCAGGGAGGACGAGAGCACUUGGCUACCUGAAGUCCACGCUCCAUCUCCCUGGAGCAAUGCCCAUGAUCACAACGACUCCCAUCACCAUUAUGAAUCAAGGCUGCCAGUGAAGCUCUGCUGCUGUCCCUCAGCCUGACACCUGAUUUAUAAUCAUGGGUUUAUGUCAAGUGUUUAAUUUAAACAACUGCGCUCCAACGUUUAGAGGAGAAUAAAUUCUUGGAAUGGAGAUGAAAUGUCCAGCUUGGAGGCCAGCUAUGGCGGCACUUGGGAGGCAGAGGUGGGAGGAUCUCUGUGAUUUGAGGCUCGCCUGGUCUACAAAGUAUGUUCCAGAACAGCCAGGGCUAAGUAUGAGACCCUGUCAUUCUGAGUGGCAUCCUUCCGAUCUGCUUCCCAUGUGUGUGCGUGUGUGCAGCUAGGGCCUGCCCCACUGCCCGUGGCUUCUGAGAUAACUCCUAAAGGAGGUAAAAGUGUUGUUGGAAAAGUUCACCAGGAAAAGAACAUUCCCGUUACAGAAGAAAAUUGCAAAACUGAGACAGAAAUAAAGACCACGAUGCAGCCACAGAAGAAUCUCGACCUUCUUGAACACUGAAAAGCUAGCUGCUACGGUUGUUUCCAUUACAAUAGGAUUCUCAGUGAAAAUCGAGCCUUAUGCGUGAGAUCAAUCAGGUAAGUUUGUACAAACGGGCAUUAUCUGUAGCAGGAACAGCAGGGCCACCUCUGUGUAAACGCUGGGGGCCACACAGCCACUAAAAGCACCCCCUGCAGGAGGACCUAAUUGAGGACUGCCUGAGAGACCAAGGAUUGCUGCUGCAGACAAUGCCAGCCAAUCAGGAACUGCUGUUUAGAGGAGAUGCUUGCUUGGGACCAAUGGGCCAUAGGUGGAGCGUAUUAAAUGAGCUUGCAGCAGUGCUCAGAUGAGCUUUCUGAAGAGUUUCUCUUCUGCUCCUGGAGUCUGUGUCGUUGAUUCUGCUCCAUCUCCCCCCCCCCCCCGCCCCCCAAGGGCAGGUAGGGUCAGGCGUCGAGUGGUCCAGGACACGGGUAGCGGAAUCUUAACGGGAGUCAUCAGGUUCCUUUCCCACUGAGAAUGCAAGUACAUUUCUCAGAGGUCAGUUGAUCUGGUAAAGCAUCUCAAAGGCCUGAAUCACUCCGUGAUUGUGGACAAUUGGCUGAACCCCAUCUCAGUGGAAGGUAGUUUAAAAAAAAAUGAAGAAAACACUCAACCAAACCACGUGAAUGCCAAGAGAGAACUGCCUUCCUAGGACGCGAACAGAUCCUAGUGCGGGAUUAAGGAACGUUCUGAAGUGAAUAUGUCAGGCUGGGAAUGACGACGUUCGUAAAGCAUGGGUGGAAUGAAGAGAGACACCGAUAAAGGAAACAUCUGAGCCUUUGAUUUCCCCUGGAAACUGUGCAGUGGAAACGCUCAUUUCCAGUGAGGCACAUCGUUGAACUGCACCUAUAAAUUUGACAGAUGAGUAUUUGUGUAGCCUUCUAAGUAAAGACAGCAGAUUCUCCAUUUCUUACCGAGGAUUUGAUUUAAAUAAAUGUGCCUAUUACAUUUCCUUCUUCAUCUACACCCUGGGCAUUUUGUUUAAGAAAAGGGUUACUCAGUUUGUUUGUUUAUUUGUUUUUUAUUGAAAUAUAAAAGGGAAGCC